AUUGAACGCUGGCGGCAGGCCUAACACAUGCAAGUCGAGCGAGCGGCGGACGGGUGAGUAAUGUCUGGGAAACUGCCUGAUGGAGGGGGAUAACUACUGGAAACGGUAGCUAAUACCGCAUACCAUCAGAUGUACCCAUAUGGGAUUAGCUUGUAGGUGGGGUAAUGGCUCACCUAGGCGAAGAUCCCUAGCUGGUCUGAGAGGAUGACCAGCCACACUGGGACUGAGACACGGUCCAGACUCCUAUGGUAGGCAGCAGUGGGGAAUAUUGCACAAUGGGGGCAAGCCUGAGGCAGCCAUGCCGCGUGUCUGAAGAAGGCCUUCGGGUUGUAAAGGACUUUCAGCGGGGAGGCGUUACCGACAGAAGAAGCACCGGCUAACUCCGUGCCAGCAGCCGCGGUAAUUC
rnacentral:rRNA from 1 species